rnacentral:sRNA from 1 species
UGUAUAAAUAUUCCGGGCCACGCAUAACUGUGCUUUCUCUGGGCAAAAACCAAAACAAAACAAAUUUCGCAUAGAAAAGUGUAUUUUUAGAGUAUUAACGUAUCGGCUAUCAGGAGGAUGCAUGUAAGAAAGUGCUCCCCAGCGUGGGGGGACUAUGCUAUUUUACGAGCUGUAUUUCACAUUUUCACAGGUCACCGCCACGCACACAAUCACAAAUAGACACGCACACGCAUACGAAUACGCACAUAAACACAUUUGUCCAAGGGAGCGCGACAAUUGCCUGAACGGCGCGGCCGGCCUUGUGGGACAUUUUGCAUGGAGCAGAGGAUGCGAUGCGAUGCGAUGCGAUGGUCCGGCACUGGAGGAGGAAACCUAAUGAGCGCGUACCGCCCACGCAAUGAAACGGGCCAGAGACACACACACACACACACACACACAUACUAGGCAAUUUUGGGCUGCUGUCUCGGAUCUCGGGAGCCCUCAUAUCUGUGGUUUUCAUGGAAUCAACUGACCAGAAUGGUGUACUCUGGCCUUCUCAGCCAAGUUACACCUGCAUCUGCCUGGGGAUUUAUUCGACAUCAACCUAACAAAUUCCGAUAUGAACCAUCAUCACAAAACCGACGGAAGCCCCCGUGGUCGUGACCCCGUACCCUCAAUGGUUCAUAUUUUGUCAUAAUUUAUGUCGCUCUGGGUGUUGUUGCUGAUGUUUUGGGUUGGCUUCUUCUGGUCCUGGUCCUGGCCCUCCUCUGCAUCCGCUCCAGGCCAAGCAGCACCAUCACCAGCACCGCAGCAGGGCAUAUCUGUCAGAAGAUGCUGCGCGAGAGAGGAGGGAUGCUGCUACAGGAUGGACUCUGAUGUGCAGAUGGAUACAGGAUAGCAGAGAGAGCAGACACACGGAUACACUGAGACAAACAAACUUUAAGGACUCCUUCCUCGCGCGAGUAUUUUCGGGCAGUGUAUGCCUGGUUCCCCCUCGCGGCGUGGUGGCCCCGCAUGUUACGCAUUUCCUCUUGGGAUUCCAGGGCAUUGGGCGCUGUUCUUUUGAUAUUGUAAUGUGCAUAAUAGGAUUUUUAUGACACCUUUACUGUGGGGGCGGGCGGGCAUCAGGCAUCGCCAAUGGCACCAAUGGCUGCUGCCUCGCCUAAUCGCCAGAAGGACUGGCAGACUGGCCCCCUGUUUCCGCUGCUGAUGCUCUCCUUCUUGUCACCAAAAAGUUGCAAAUUUUAUUGGCCGGAUGUGCGGAUGUGCGGAUGUGCGGCAGCGGCAUGUGGAUUGUGGAUUUGCAUCAGAUCAUGAAUUUCACACGAUGGUAAUGGCCACAUUAGCAUUGACUACACGCAUUUAUGGCCCAGACCACACCCCAACCCCCAACCCCACCUCCAUUCUCCGGCCCAGGGGUAAGGUAAGUGCAUGUGCUAAAUUUUUAAUAUGCAAAUUUCGUUUCAGGGCUGCCGCCUGUGCGCUCACCUUUCGCAUUUCAUUUACACUUGUGCUGCAUAUUUUAUUGUGUUGUAUGUACACGGCAUUAUUGCACACAAAUGGCCAGUUACAUAUUAAGCCGAACAAUAACCGCCGACUGUGUUGUCAGGACUCUGGGGGAAACCCGGAUGUGGAUGUGGAUGCGAAUGUGGAUAUGGGUCCUCCAGAUGGCUGGCAAAAUGCCAUUUGAUUCGAGCGACACUUGGGGCUGUCUCUGUCUCCUGCUCCUGCCUCGUUGCGCAUCGUUUGGGAGCCCCUCCUCUCUAAUGGCUGUACGGAAUUAAUUUUCCAAAACCUUUUGAAAGGUGUCGCCUCCAUGCAAUUCCAAGGAGAUCGAUAAGUCCAGGGAGAGCUAAAUUGUGGAUUUACAUUGAGAGGCCACAGUAAAUCAUCGUUCUGCGAGUACGAGUAGUAUGUGCCUGGAAUGAGCCGUCGAAAAUCAAUAGCGUGAGACACUCCAGACAAAGCCAACAGGAGGCAACCCUUUCAAUCAGCAGCAUCAGAUGUACGACGAGUAUUCUCCACGCGUCGAUGGCCAUCAGCAGCCCCGAGGACACGGACACGGACACGGACAUGGACACGGACACAAUGCGAUGCUAUCGCAGAUCAAGUUGCUUUAACCUCCCCAUCAAUUAAAGUAAGAGGCUUUUUCUUUAUUUUAUCUAUUGUGGCUUUUGGUCCAGCUGUUGGCUGUAUUUGGUUGAAUUUUAAGUGAAAUUUCAAUAUUUAUAAAUUUA